rnacentral:lncRNA from 1 species
GGCCAAGUCUGAAUAUCGGGGCUGACUCCUGAGCAAAAGUGGUCAGUGGUGGAGAGAGAAAGGGACCUUGCAACAAUUUGGAAUCCUGGAUCUCUAGUGUGUCUGGAAAACUACUUGUGUGCCAGUUGACACCUGGAUAAACCAGAGGUCUGUGGACCCCUCCCAAGAACAGGUUUGUACCGGAUUGUGAGGUCUGGGAAACCAGGGACCUUAUUUCACUUGGAAACCCUGAUUCUUAGUACAGAACCUGAGACCUGAGUUUCUGAUCAAAGCAACAGAAUGAAUACAGAUAAUCUAAAGGUUCACCAAAUAUCAAGACAUUUUCCUAAGUACAAACAGAAUGACGACUUGGAGAUUCUGGUGACAGAGAUAAGACCCAGGUUAUGGUCACUUUCCACAGCUCUUGCCCUGGGCUUUCCAAUCAGGAAGCUAGCUGGGGUGAUGGAACUGCUCUGAACCAGCUUCCCAGGCGCCUGGCAUCUAAAUCAAAUUUUAACUUUAAUUCACUGAGACAUUUUAACUUCGUAGUAGAGAAACUUCAGGAGCCAUGAAACAGAUUCGCAUCAGGGGCCUCCUGACACGAAUCCCUGGGAAGACACAACAUUGCUUCAGUGUUAUGGCUGCCCGAAGUGUAUAAUUUCAACCCAAUCACAAGGAAACACCAGCAAACGCAAAUUGAAAGUUUACAAAACUGCUGGCCUGUACUCUUUUAAAAAAU